rnacentral:rRNA from 1 species
AGGAUGAACGCUGGCGGCGUGCUUAACACAUGCAAGUCGAACGAUGAAGGCUGGAGCUUGCUCUGGCUGGAUUAGUGGCGAACGGGUGAGUAACACGUGAGUAACCUGCCCCAGACUCUGGGAUAAGCGCUGGAAACGGCGUCUAAUACCGGAUACGAGCUUCCACCGCAUGGUGAGGAGCUGGAAAGAUUUCGGCUGGGAUGGACUCGCGGCCUAUCAGCUUGUUGUGAGGUAAUGGCUCACCAAGGCGACGACGGGUAGCCGGCCUGAGAGGGUGACCGGCCACGACGUGGGACUGAGACACGGCCAGACUCCGUACGGGAGCAGCAGUGGGAAUAUGCAC